rnacentral:rRNA from 1 species
AGCAGCCGCGGUAAUUCCAGCUCCAAUAGCGUAUAUUAAAGUUGUUGCAGUUAAAAAGCUCGUAGUUGAAUUUCGGGAUCAAUAUUUCGGUCAUGCCGUUGGUAUGCACUGUUAUCAUUGAUUUCUCACCUUCUAAAGAACCGUAAUGCCAUUAAUUUGGUGUUACGGGGAAUUAGGACUGUUACCUUGAAAAAUUAGAGUGUUUAAAGCGGGCUCACGCUUGAAUACAUUAGCAUGGAAUAAUGAAAUAGGACAUCCGAUUCUAUUUUGUUGGUUUCUAGGAUCGAUGUAAUGAUUAAUAGGGAUAGUUGGGGGCAUUAGUAUUCAAUUGUCAGAGGUGAAAUUCUUGGAUUUAUUGAAGACUAACUACUGCGAAAGCAUUUGCCAAGGAUGUUUUCAUUAAUCAAGAACGAAAGUUAGGGGAUCGAAGACGAUCAGAUACCGUCGUAGUCUUAACCAUAAACUAUGCCGACUAGGGAUCGGAUGAUGUUAAUUUUUUAAUGACUCAUUCGGCGUCCG